CCAAAUAAUCUGACUCCAGAGUCCUUACUUAGUUGCCUACUCUGCUAAAAUGCCUUUUCACAUUUGGACUCCCCACCAAAUCAAAGAACCCUUCAGAAGAGGGUCUUUGUUCUCCUCACAUUUGAUAUUUGAGUGCCUAUUUGUGCAGGUAUUUGUGCCAAGUGCUGAGCGAAGAGUUAUAAAAUAAGACAGUGUCUUUGCCAUUACAGAACUUAAAAACAGUAGGAAGAGGCAGACGUUAAAUAGAAAGCAUACAUAAUUACCUGACUUCAUUGUGACCAAAACUAUAAGGGGGAAGGCAGGAGCUGUUCUUAGAGUGACUGAAAAACGAUCCAGCCCAGACUCGGGGAGCCAAGAGAAAGGCUGAGACCCGACUCAAAAGCGAGCUUUGGCCGCGUGAGAAAUGGCAGGAAGGAGCCUGCUGGCGCGCGUCCGACUCCUGAGCCUGCAGCCCGGCACAGGACGCGCUGGGCUAGUAUAGCAUUGAGAAAAUAAAAGCCGAUAAUCCUAGGUCUACAUUUUGAGUGGAAAAGAAGCUGACCACGCUCACCGCAGACGUGCUGACGGCGAUGACUACAGUCCUAAGAGCUGCGGGAGGGCUGGAGCGGGGACGGGUCCUGUCCUGGAAGGCCGAGGACGCCAGGCGCUGCUGAGGGGUCGGAGUGGAGUGCUGGGCGAGAGAAGCUUGUAAGAAUUUCCUCAGGGAUUCUGCCCUCGAGCUGCGCCUGGCCGCGUGCUGGAUGCUGACGCAGGAGGAGAAGCGCCACGGGUUUCCCGCGUAGGAAGCGGCAGGAUCCAGGGCACAGCGGACCGGGGUUCAGGGCACUCGGAAUUGGCCCAGCAUCUUGGCUGGCCAGAAACUAGGCUAAGGCGUUGCUUAGAGUGAGUUAGGUUGUGGAGAGUGUCGAAUACCAGGCUCAGGUGUUAGAAAUGCAUUGAAUCAUCAGUGCAGGCUAUUCACGUGUAAUAUGGCUAGAACAGUGUUCAGGGCAGUGUCUAUACCGUAUAGAGUGGAUUAAAGGGCCAAAGAGAUGAAAGAAUACAGGUGACUAGAAUACGUGAAUCUAGCAAAAUGUAAUAUAAUCUGUGAAAAUAUGAUUAAAAAUAGGGCUGACAUUGUACUAAAAUCUGUGAAAAUGUGAUUGAAAAAGGGAUGAUAUCGCCAUGGGAGGUCUUUUGGAAAAUAAACGGGAUUGUGAAAUACCGUUUUGGAAUAGGCGGAGGAAAAGGAGUUAGAAGAGGAGCUGCUCAGGGAGCGCCCAGAUGGUUCAAACAUCAUAAAAGCUACGGUGUUUCAGGAGAGGGAACAGGUGACUAGCAGAUGCUGCAGAGAGCCAAAAGAGGGUAAGAACUAAGGUGAUGCUGGAAUUAGGGGGAAUGGCAGGAGGACAAGAGAGAGACGUUACCUGUGGACAGUCCUUUCCAGUGGUUCAGAAGAGUUGGUAGACUGAAAAUAGAAAUAAUCUCUUUUGAGAAUUGUGAUACUGCAGGAAAGGAAAAAGGAUACUGAUUGAACUAAGCAAAAGAAUUGAAAGUAUUUUUUUUUAAAAGGGUAGUGGAGGCCUAAUUAAAUUUGUAGAAAAAAGGGUAAAGUUUAAUAGGGACAAGAAAUUGAAGAUGGGAGAAAAGAGAGCCAGCUGAUGGGGAGGGAAUGAGACAAGAUAGGCUCGUGAAGUUGUCUCAGAAAAGAAGGGAGAGAUUUGUUCCUGAAUAGGAGGAAAAUGGAGGGUGAGUGAAGACAGAAAUACUGCAAGAGAGAAGUUGAAGGUGUUUAUGUCAGAUGACUCUGACCACAAAGGUGUUAAUCAGAAGAUGUUACAACCAAUGACUGAAAGAGACAACUAGGUAUUUCAAGUUAUGUUCUGUAUCUACUAUCAAUAUAGAAGCCAUUAACCACAUAUGGCUAUGUGUAGAAAACAGCCUGUUUUCUACAUGGCAUGACAAGAGUAAUGCCAUCUUGAAGUGAAACCAUCAUAACGACCAGUGUUUCACUCUUGUAUACCAAGGCAUUCCCCCAGCAAGGUCAAGAAACAAUGCCUCUAGGAUAGAUAACCUCUCAAAAAGAAACAAUACCUGUGGCAUACAAAACCCCUCAUAAAAAUGCUUAUCUAACUUUCUCACUGGUCAGAGUUUUGCAAGAGGAUCUCAGACAUAACCAGCUGCUCAUGUUUUACCAAAAAAAAAGCUUGCUAUAGGAAGAAUACUUUCUGCAAGGCAGGUAUGGAGAUCCAUCAUCUUAAGUCCCUACUAAAUGUUUCUUUCUGAGAAGCUACAUUUGUCUGUUCAGCUACCUAAACCCUUAGGGGCAGGUUUACAUAUACUUGCUUACUUGAUAUAUGGCUGAUAGGAACUGAGGAAGUAAAAUUUUCAUUUCAUUGAAUUUUAAUUAAUUUACAUUUAAAUUGCCACAUGGGAUUAGUGGUUCCAUAGUGGACAGUGAAGCUAGCCUAUACUGGUUAAAAACCCAAUGAGUGAAAUGAACAAAGUAAACACAGCAGAUUUCUAAUGAAGCAGAUCAAAUAAUGAGUGGCCAAAAAAAAAAAAAGACUACAAAGUUGUUUUCUAUGUAAAAGUACAUAAGAGCAUACUCAAUUUGUUCAUUUCUGUAAAGGAUCGAGCAACACAGUGUUUUAUGUAAGUACCCAAUUUCCCCAUUUUUAAUGAACAAAUACAUACCAAUACCUGCUAACACUGUGGGGUGGGGAGGGGAGAGUGAUACAUACCUAAGAAAAUUAGUGACUUCAGUAAUAAACACUUCUCUAUCAUUUAUUUUCUUUUAAAAAAAUGUAUUAACAUCUGAAUAUAUUAAUGCAUGACCUUUAGAUAAUAAAGUAUCAAUUUUGGUCAAUUUUGACAAAUAUAUCAAUGAAAGAUGUUAAUAUAAAGAAAUGUAUGUGAAGGUA